UUGCAACACAACAUUGUUAGCUCCUACGAUCUGCCUUUACUUCAACCUUGCCUCAUAGCUCCGCUGGCUCCUACAACGCUGCUUCUCACUUCUUCAUCUGUGUGUUCAUCCAUUGCUUAUUAACGGAUUGUUUCUACCUGCGAUCCAGAAGCACUUUGAUUGUUCGUCUAUCAUUUAUUCAGGUUUUUCAUCUAUCAUCACGUCCAGAAGCAAUUCUUGUGCCCGUCUCUCAUUUUAUUCGGGCCAUUCCACACCCAAAAAACCCAAAAAAAGAAGGGGAAAUUGUUUCAUAGUUUUUGCUCCUAUUUAUCAUUGUAAACUUGUUCAUCUCCAUACACACCUACUCUCUUCAGCCUAGUCACCCUCACCUUAGACAAGGAGAAGUCUGCCUUUAAGGUUCUUCUACUUGUUUCCCAUAAUUUAUCUUUCCACACCCAAGAUCUGUGCAUCCACAAAACAAACAAAACUCCCUUCCCUAGGUAUAUACACCCAAAAAACAAACGCUGCAAUCCGAUGGAAGUGGCUUUAGCUAGCGCUGCCUUAAGCGUUAGCUUAAAAUUGGCCGCGUCACCACUCUUGAAGAAGCUCCUUGCUAAUGCUUCAACAUGCCUUGGAGUGGACAUGGCACACGAGCUCCGUGAACUAGAGACCACUAUCUUUCCACAACUCAAGCUGUUGACUGAAGCAGCAGACAAGGGAAACCACAGGCUGAAUUUGGACAAAUGGCUUCAGGAACUCAAAGAAGCACUCUACCUGGCCGAAGACUUGCUGGACGAGAGUGAUUACAACCUCCUCAAGCGCCAAGCAAGGGGGAAGGAUUCCUUGCAAGCCAAUGCCUCCUCCAUCAGCAACACUCUAAUGAAGCCUUUGCGUGCUGCAUCAAGCAGGCUGUCCAAUCUGCGCUCCGAGAACAGAAAGUUAAUUCGUCAUCUUAAGGAAUUGAAGGCUACCCUAGCGAAAGCCAAGGACUUCCAUCAACUCCUGUGUUUACCUGGUAGUUAUAAUGCAGAGAGCCCUGCCAUACCAUCAGCUCAUGUUCCUGAGACCACAUCAGCACCACCUUUCAAAGUGAUUGGUCGUGAUAAUGAUCGCGAUCAUAUAAUACAUCUUCUUACCAAAACAUCUGCUACUACUGAGUCUAGUACAACAAUGUACUCAGGUUUGGCCAUUGUUGGGGCUGGAGGGAUGGGAAAGUCCACCUUGGCACAGCUUGUCUAUAAUGAUGAGAGGGUAAAAGGAUGUUUUGAUGUGAGAAUGUGGGUAAGCAUCUCACGCAAACUUGAUGUCCGCCGUCAUACACGGGAGAUCAUCGAGUCUGCCUCUAAGGGGGAAUGCCCACACAUUAAUAACCUUGAUACCCUGCAGUGCAAGUUGACAGAGAUACUCCAGGCAUCAAGAAAAUUCCUGCUUGUGUUGGAUGACGUUUGGUUUGAACCUGGCAGUGAGAAGGAAUGGGACCUACUGUUGGCUCCUCUUGUUUCCCAACAGACCGGAAGCAUAGUUUUGGUAACUUCUCGACGGGAUAGAUUUCCAGCUGCUCUCUGCUGUGAAGUGUGUCCUCUGGAAAACAUGGAAGAUACUCACUUCUUGGCACUCUUCAAGCAUCACGCAUUCGCUGGACAAGAAAUCAGAAAUCCACUACCAUGUGAAAGGCUCGAAGAUUUUGCAGAGAAGAUUGCUAAAAGGCUUGGACAAUCUCCUUUGGCAGCAAAAGCUGUGGGUUCCCAGUUGAAAGGGGAAACAGAUAUAUAUGCAUGGAAGGAUGCUCUUAAUAUAAAGAUUGACAACUUAACUGAUCCGAUGAGUGCUCUGUUGUGGAGUUAUGAGAAGUUAGAUCCACGUCUGCAGAAGUGCUUCCUAUAUUGCGGCUUGUUUCCAAAAGGCCACAAGUAUUUAAUUGAUGAGUUAGUUCAUCUUUGGAUGGCAGAGGGUCUCAUUGAUUCGUGCAACCAAAACAAGAGAGUGGAAGAUAUUGGGAGGGACUGCUUCAAGGAGAUGAUCUCUGUUUCAUUCUUUCAACCAGUUAAUAAGAAAUACUAUGCUAUGCAUGAUCUCCUUCAUGAUCUGGCAGAAUUACUCAGCAAAGGGGUCUACUUCAGAUUGGAAGAUGAUAAGGUGACAGAAAUACCAUCCACUGUUAGACAUAUCUCUGUUCGUGUUCAUAGUAUGACGCAACACAAGCAAAGUAUCUGCAACCUAAAUCAUUUACGCACUAUGAUCUGCAUAGACCCUCUAAUGGAUGAUGUAAGUGACCUUUUUAGUCAGAUACUACAGAAUUUGAAGAAAUUGCGUGUACUACAUUUGUCAUCUUAUGGCAGUAGUAAGUUGCCAGAAUCUGUUGGUGAGUUGAAGCACCUUCGGUAUCUGAACAUCAUCAGAACACUGAUUUCUGAAUUGCCAAGAUCAUUGUGUACUCUUUACCACUUGCAGUUACUUCUGGUAAAUGAUAAAGUUGAGAGUUUGCCUGGUAAACUCUGCAACUUAAGGAAGUUACGACAUCUUGACUGGUAUGAUUAUGGAACAUAUGAUUCAAACAGAAAAGCAGCGCCUCAAAUUCCUAACAUUGGCAAGCUAACUUCGCUUCAACAAGUUAAGAAAUUUUCUUUGCAAAAGAAAAUGGGAUAUGAAUUGCAACAGCUGAGGGAUCUGAACGAGAUCCGUGGCAGUUUAAGUGUCACAAAUCUUGAGAAUGUCACUGGGAAAGAUCAAGCCUUAGAAUCGAAGCUGCAUCAGAAAAGUCAUCUUGGCAGCUUGCGACUUGAAUGGUGUUGCCAGAAUAACACCAAUGCAGAGGAUAGUUUGCAUUUGGAGAUUCUAGAAGGCCUGAUGCCACCGCGUCAACUUGGGAGCCUUACAAUUGACGGUUACAAGUCUUCACAAUAUCCAAGCUGGUUACUUAACGGUUCUUAUUUUGAGAAUUUGGUAUCUUUAAGGUUUGCUAACUGUAGCGCAUUACAAAGCCUACCAUCCAAUACUGGGCUAUUUGGGAAUUGUUCUUCGCUUUCACUCAUCAAUGUGCCAAACCUGAAGGCAUUACCUUGUCUUCCACUAGGGCUUACAUAUUUAUGUCUGAGUAAUUGCCCACUGCUUAUAUUUACUUCCAACGAUGUGCUGGAAAAUAGUGACCAGAGAGAGAUCAUGAGGAUAGACCACUUGGCAUCACAGCUUGGUUUAAUUUGGGGGGUGGAUGCAGGAUCAGAUAUCAAGAGGGUACUCUCACGGGAACAUUCAUUUAUGAACCAGCUGAUGAUAUUUAUGCAUGCUGAUGUGUCAAAUGUUCAACACCUUGUAAGUGCUCUAAAAGGAGAGCAAGAUGAAAUAUUGGCAAAAGAGGAUAUCAUCAAGGCAUGGAUAUACUGUCACGAGCAGAGGAUGUGCCUCAUGUAUGGAAGGAGCAUUGUGCUGCCGCUGGUUUCACCAUCAGGACUUCGUAAUCUUUAUCUCUUCUCUUGCAGUAUUACAAAUGGAGCUUUAGCUGUAUGCCUUGAUGGCCUGGCUUCACUGGAAAGUUUGGACUUAAAUGAGAUCAUGACUUUAACUACACUUCCUUCGGAAGAGGUUCUCCAACAUUUGACAAAUCUUGGCCGUUUGUUCAUUGUAUAUUGCUGGUCUCUCAGGUCAUUAGGGGGCUUACGAGCUGCUACCUCUCUUUCACAUGUUCACUUGACUUCCUGCCCUUCUUUAGAGUUGGCAAGUGGAGCCAAAUGUUUGCCAUUAUCCAUUGAGAAGCUCUCUAUAUCCAGUUGUGUGCUUGCAGCUGACUUCCUCUCUACUGACUGGCCACACAUAAAUGAUAUUAGCAUAUACGAUUGCAGAAGCACCGCAUGCUUGUCUGUUGGUAGUCUCACCUCUGUUAAAUCAUUGGUACUGUAUAACUUGCCAGAUUUAUGUACACUUGAAGGAUUGUCUUCCCUGCAACUUCACAGUGUACAUUUGUUUGAUGUUCCGAAGCUCACCCCUGAGUGUAUCUCACAGUUUCAAGUCCAGUACUCACUCUUUGUUAGCAGUCCUGUAAUACUCAACAACAUGCUCUCGGCUGAAGGUUUCUCAGUUCCAGCAUUUCUCUCUCUUGAAGGAUGCAAGGAACCAAUUGUUUCAUUGGAAGAAUGCACAAAUUUCGCAGCAGUCAAGACCCUAAGAUUCUGUAAUUGUCAAAUGAUUUCCCUGCCAACAAAUCUGAAGUGCUUCUCCAAUCUGAAGAAGCUUGACAUCUAUGAUUGCCCCAACAUAUCAUCUUUACCAGACUUGCCAUCCUCCCUCCAGCACAUAUGUAUAUGGGGUUGUGAGCUAUUGAAGGAGAGCUGCCGAGCACCUGAGGGAGAAAGUUGGCCAAAGAUCGCGCAUAUCCGCUGGAAGGAAUUUAUAGUGUGAUCUAGAUUCCCAGCUACAAAUAAACGGAAAGGCCCUCCAGCAAGCUGUUACGAGGUGGAGUGCUUCAGCCUGGCUCAUCCUGCAGCCCAAACUGUCUUCUACUUCACGGGCCGGUGUUAAUCCCCUCGUCUUAUGGACAAUUCUGGACGUGCUGGGGAGGGAGCAAAUUGUGAGAGAAAGUGACGAAUGACUAGUUUGGUGGGCAGCAGCUCUUGGAAAUGUGUCGGUGUUUCUUCAGCUUGUGCCAUUUUAGUCUUCCCCGUCGAUUCAAGGGCGGACAUCGAGAUGCAAAACUAGAUGGCAUACGUAUUUCCAAGGUACGUACUUGUCAUUGUUUGUUUGGUGAAUGACAGAUAACCAAAAACCAACGCAUGCAGCAUCCUGGAGCAUCAGGCUGACUGGGUGGAUCAUGCUUGUCUCUGUCGCCCGUUCUCUGAAGCCGAGAGACCAGGUUGUAAAUUUUGCUCUGCACCUGUCUGCUUGUAGCUUGGUGGCCUGUUCAUAGUUGAUACGGUGCAUUUACGCCCUGAUGCACAAGUCAAGCAAACUGUACCACAAGAUGCAGUCGAGUGCCCAGCAGACGGUGACAAGGAGCAUCUCGGUGGAUUCAAGGUCGGCGAGGAAGCGGCUCUCCCGAGGAACGAGAUUGUAACUUUUAGGUGUUCAUGUUCGUCCACGUCGGUUGGGCGUCCCGGUGUUGCUGGCAUGCUCAGAGUUCAAAGAAAAUGACUCGGACAGAACUGCAGGAGGCUCCCCUCUUGCCGCUGUGCUAGAGCCUGUGUUUUGAU